AGUGAACGCUGGCGGUAGGCCUAACACAUGCAAGUCGAACGGCAGCACAGUAAGAGCUUGCUCUUACGGGUGGCGAGUGGCGGACGGGUGAGGAAUACAUCGUAAUCUACUUUUUCGUGGGGGAUAACGUAGGGAAACUUACGCUAAUACCGCAUACGACCUACGGGUGAAAGCAGGGGAUCUUCGGACCUUGCGCGAUUGAAUGAGCCGAUGUCGGAUUAGCUAGUUGGCGGGGUAAAGGCCCACCAAGGCGACGAUCCGUAGCUGGUCUGAGAGGAUGAUCAGCAACACUGGAAAUGAGACACGGUCCAGACUCCUACGGGAGGCAGCAGUGGGGAAUAUUGGACAAUGGGCGCAAGCCUGAUCCAGCCAUACCGCGUGGGUGAAGAAGGCCUUCGGGUUGUAAAGCCCUUUUGUUGGGAAAGAAAAGCAGCAGGUUAAUACCCCGCUGUUCUGACGGUACCCAAAGAAUAAGCACCGGCUAACUUCGU
rnacentral:rRNA from 1 species